rnacentral:rRNA from 1 species
CACGUAGUUAGCCGGGGGCUUCUUAGUCAGGUACCGUCAUUAUCUUCCCUGCUGAUAGAGCUUUACAUACCGAAAUACUUCUUCACUCACGCGGCGUCGCUGCAUCAGGGUUCCCCCCAUUGUGCAAUAUUCCCCACUGCUGCCUCCCGUAGGAGUCUGGGCCGUGUCUCAGUCCCAAUGUGGCCGUUCACUCUCUCAAGCCGGCUACUGAUCGUCGCCUUGGUAAGCCCGUUACCUUACCAACCAGCUAAUCAGACGCGGGUCCAUCCCAUAGCGAUAAAUCUUUACAAAACAGGACCAUGCGGUCCCGCUUUCCCAUGCGGUAUUAGCAGCCGUUUCCAGCUGUUCGUCCCCCUCUAGUGGGGCACGGUUACCCACGCGUUACUCCACCCGUCCGCCACUCAGUCACUCCCAUAUCGUCCUUCCCUUUCCCCCAGUACCGAACG